rnacentral:rRNA from 1 species
UGAGGAAUAUUGGACAAUGGGCGAAAGCCUGAUCCAGCCAUGCCGCGUGAAUGAUGAAGGCCUUAGGGUUGUAAAGUUCUUUCGCUGGUGAAGAUAAUGACGGUAACCAGUAAAGAAGCCCCGGCUAACUUCGUGCCAGCAGCCGCGGUAAUACGAAGGGGGCUAGCGUUGUUCGGAAUUACUGGGCGUAAAGCGCGCGUAGGCGGAUCUGUAAGUCAGAGGUGAAAGCCCGGGGCCCAACCCCGGAAUUGCCUUUGAAACUACAGGUCUAGAGACUCGGAGGGGGUAGCGGAAUUCCUAAUGUAGGGGUGAAAUCCGUAGAGAUUAGGAGGAACACCGGUGGCGAAGGCGGCUACCUGGACGAGUACUGACGCUGAGGUGCGAAAGCGUGGGGAGCAAACAGG